ensembl:lncRNA
CAUUUGUCUGUGCAGCUUUGAGCUACACAUGUCAUUUAUUUUUUAAACUAGUUUCAAGGUUUGAGUAGCCCAGCUGUGCUGUUAGGAGACUAUUCAACACCCGCCAUCCCUUUCUUUCUUAAUUUAAACUACACAAUUGUAGCAGUAACUGGCCUUGUGGGACUGGAUUUCCAGCUGGUGGUGAACUGUCAUCAGUUGUAGGCUACUCCAGCAGUCUCCGCCUCCUCACUGAUGAUUAUUUAGCCACGGCUAGGUGACACCACUCCAAUCAGGUGGAUGAAAGAGGAAGGCUGCCGGCUGCUGCUGGGAAAGCUUUCACACUGCUAAGAAGGGAUAUCUCUUUCCCUACGGAGAAUACCAGUGUCAGCAAACGACUCCAGCAGCUGUGGCAGGUUAUAGUAUUUAGGAAAAGUAGAGGAUGAAGUUCUCAUCAGUUCAUACAUGAAAUGAGAAUGAAUCCAGUCAGCUCCAAGGCAGGAAGAACACGGUGGAAGGGCCCAGGACCAAAAAGCUGCUCAACCCAUGGAGCCAGGGGACAGAGAGGAGAAAGAGAGACCCAGGCACCCUCUUGUAGCACAUGCCAGGGGAUCACCCCUGCCAACCAGCAGGAUCUCCUAACAGCACCUCAACUGGUGAAAAAGCAUAACACUCUGAAUAUGAAAGUGCUCUACAGUUUAGCAGAACACCACAUUCUCAGGAUGCUGUUCUUGAGAAGCCCUGGCGCCACACAUGGAAAUUGGUUGGCUGUCCCUGCAGGACUGGAACCUCAGUGUCUCUCUUUCCUAGCACUUAACCUCCUCCACGCAGCACUAAGCACAAUGCCCUGAAAUCACCGCUGUCUAUGCUCCAAGGUGCGCGCCAGACUCUGCUGUGGCUCUUGCUCACGACAAAACUCCCCUGGCUCCUCUGGAGAGGCCUAAUUCGUAAUUCCCUCCAAGACCGUCAGACCCUUCUCAGUGUGUUCCUCCUUCAGGCAGAAGACACUCCCUUCCAGGAUGCUCUUUAGGGAACCUUAGAAGAAACCACUGCCCACAAAUUGUCCCCCAUGGAAGCCGAGACGGUCAUCGUUGGGGUGCAGCAUGGAGCUGCGCGGCUCACUCUUUAGAAAGACCCAGCGCAAACCUCACUCAGACACAGACUCCAGGGAGCCCCUGCUCCCCCCACCAAUACGAGAAAUCAUUCGCUGUCUUCAGGACUCAUCCUGCGCCUGCUCUCCCCGUGUGCCUGCCUGGAGAACUCAAAGUCAAAACUAGCUCAGUGGUUCUGCUGCUUGCUGCGCAAGCGCAAGGACCCGAGUUCGAUCCCAGGUAACAAAAAAACCAAACCAAAACAAAACAAAACAAAAAAACACACAAAAAACAAACUAAUGCUGACCGCGCACAUUGCUAGGCUCCGCGUGUUUCCUCUUCCAGGAAGCUCAGCACCACCCCAAAAUCCCCAUCAGUCCUCUCUGCGCUGGAUGGGAAAUAGAGAGCACCAGAUUCCUGGAGACAUACUGACCUUAAUCUGAGAAGUAACAUGCUUCCCCCUUGUUUAUUUUUCAGACUCUGGUGCUAGAAACACAUUUUAAGGGUCUAGUUAAAUUGUUGAGGUUGCUAAUCCCUAGUCAAGUAGCUCCGGAUUGAGUAUAGAUUUUGGUGGGCCAGCCAACUUCAGCAGCGCAUACAGCAACCAGCUCCCCGGGUUCCUCCUAGAUUUAGGGAAUUCUGGCUGGGCAUCUGUCGGGGGGAUUCCGUGUACGCAAGCAUAGUGCAAAUGUAAUUAUCUCUGAGUGCAUAGGCCAUUUUAUAGUCUUCUAGGAACAGCUAGGAAAAUCAUAUUUUGUCAUGUUUAUGAUGCUAAGACUUCUACUUUCUGAAAUAGCACACACAUGUACUGGUACACAGUUGAUGUAGAAAAGUAUAGCUUUUUACUACAGUCUCUAGAGCUACUAUAUACCAGAACAGACAAGCUACUUCAGCACUCUGCCUCACUUUUCUUAUUUAAAGAAAAACAAUAACAUUUUAUAAAAUAAAAUAAUCUAUGACUUCCCUUGAACCCAUGCAAUUACUUUCUUUUAUGGAUAUUAGCUACAUUUUAAUUACUAAAAUUUUAUGAACACUACAUCUAGGAUUUUAUGCUCAUGCACAGUUUUCAUAUAUGUUGAAUAAAUUGAAAUAAAUUUUUACAAGAACAUGCCUUAUUCAAAUUCCAAAAAGUGCUAAAUAGAGUAG